rnacentral:rRNA from 1 species
AGUGAACGCUGGCGGCGUGCUUAACACAUGCAAGUCGAACGCGAAAGUGGAGCAAUCCAUGAGUAGAGUGGCGAACGGGUGAGUAAAAUGUGGGUAAUCUAGCUUUCAGAGGGGGAUAACCCGGGGAAACCUGGGCUAAAACCGCGUACGAUUUCCGGAUUUGCGGAUUUGGAAAUGAAAACAUGGCCUCUAUUUAUAAGCUAUGGCUGGAAGGUGAGCCCACAUCCUAUCACGCUUGUUGGUGGGGUAAAGGCCUACCAAGGCGACGACGGGUAGCCGGCCUGAGAGGGUGUCCGGCCACACUGGAACUGAGACACGGUCCAGACUCCUACGGGAGGCAGCAGUGGGGAAUUUUUCGCAAUGGGCGCAAGCCUGACGAAGCAACGCCGCGUAGAGGAUGAAGGCCCUCGCGGUCGUAAACUCUUGUCUAGCGGGACGAAACUCCUAUACGGGAACACUGUGUAGGAUUGACUGUACCGCUGGAGGAAGCUCCGGCCAACUCCGUGCCAGCAGCCGCCGUAACAC